GGCCAGUGACAAACACUGCCCUUCACAUCAAAGGGCAGUGCUGUGUGAGAAGACUUUUUUAAUGUUGUACAGGUCAUCCUGUGAUAAUGCGAGUUUCAUUAAUGCGAAUUUGCUAUAAUGAUUGACGAAUUGGGGACACUGUUUCUAAAGUGUGAACUUUUAAAGUGUAUAUUGGUUAUAAUGUGAAUCCGGCCCCAUUAGCUUACGUGGUGAUGCUAUUACGCAAUUUUCUUAUAACAUGGGAUUGCACAAGAACAGAACUAUUGUGUUAUAGUUGAACUGACUGAACUCUAAUACCUUGCAAGAAAGGCUAAAGUCCCUGUUGCUCGUUUGAUGUAUCUGCAUGCUGACGUUUGGUAACUUAUAUGCAAGAAACUCCAAAGUCCCUUGCAAACAUAUUGCUUCUUGCCUUUUAAAAAGGAUUCCACUUUCCCAAUACUGAGAAUAAUUUCAUCCUGUCUCACGUUGGGAAAUGGGGCCCUAAACCCUCCCUUCUGAUUUGAUGCUCCCCAGACCCCAGAAACAAAAUCAGCAAAGGGGAAGGCACAAGACCCAGCUUUAUUCUAUGACAAUUAUACUCUAGGUGGACCUCAAGUUAUGAAGGACAGUCUAUAAAUUGUUUAGUGAGAUCUAGGGUCACAAUUCCAGAGAAUGGAUCAGAGGUGAAGGCAGAAACCUAGGCUGGAGGUCUGAGCUUUUAGCUUUUGUUGAUGUAAUGAGAUAAAAGCCAAAUAUUAUUCAUUAGUUUUGAAACAGCAUAUACUUAAAACAUGGCAAUAAGUCUGAGUCAUGUUUCACUUUUUUUCAGCUGUAUUCAUUGAGACCCAGAUUUUCUAGAUUUUUGUUGAUUCAGAACAAACAACCGAAAACAUAGAAUAAGGUAAAUAAGUAGUUCUGGGAUAAUGAAAGUCAAAAACUAUGUGUCCAUCCCCAAUUAAAGUUUCCAGCUUAGUCAUAUCUCAUCCCCUUAAUUUCUGCAAAAGUUCCAUUCUCCACACACCCCAUGUUUUGCAUUCUCAAGGAAGGCACUGGCAAUGUAGAUAUGCUAUCAAAUUGGAAUAUAUGGCUGCAAGAUUGAACAAGACUGAAACACUUUUACACAAUUUCUGUGUAUUAAAUUCACACUUCACAGGAUUUUGGAUUGCCUUUCCUCGAUAAGCAAAACUGCAUUUUCAUUUACUUCAACAAUAUGGUGGUGGAAUUGGAGUUUAUCCCUGUCUUAAAUGUUUUCCCCUUCUUUUCAGUCCAGCCAGAAAUAAUACUCCUUGGCUGAAAUACUGAAUGGCUGCCUGAUCCCUUGCUGUGGCUAUAAAUCUGAAGUUAGCUACUGAAGCUUCACCAGAGUGGCCUGAAUUAAUGAGUCAUGUGAGUGAUCUUUCCUCCUAAAGAGCUUAACUUUCACCAAAGACUUUCCCCUUCAGCGCCCAACAUACCACCCAAAGUUCAGUUGAGACCAGUAUGCAGGUUGUGGUUAAUUAAAUUGUGAGCUUACUUAUAAACUAUAAAUUUAUACUUUUGGUACUUAGGUAGGGAAUGCCUUGGGCUGUAUGGAGAACUGAGCUGAAAAUGUGUUGCUGGAAAAGUGCAGCAGGUCAGGCAGCAUCCAAGGAGCAGGAGAAUCGACGUUUC